rnacentral:rRNA from 1 species
UACGUAGGGUGCGAGCGUUAUCCGGAAUUAUUGGGCGUAAAGCGUCCGCAGGUGGCACCUCAAGUCUGCUGUCAAAGACCGGGGCUUAACCCCAGAAAGGCAGUGGAAACUGAAGUGCUAGAGUGCAGUAGGGGUAGAGGGAAUUCCCGGUGUAGCGGUGAAAUGCGUAGAGAUCGGGAAGAACAUCGGUGGCGAAAGCGCUCUGCUGGACUGCAACUGACACUCAGGGACGAAGGCUAGGGGAGCGAAUGGG